rnacentral:lncRNA from 1 species
GACAAGCAGCAGUCUCUACUCAAACUGAGGCUUGAAUCUGCCUUCAGCCCUCUCUUCCUCAGACAAAGAACUCAGCUUACCUCGAAGUUCAGUGACCUUGGCCAUUGUUGGAUACUUCCAUAUCACUAGCUGAUUCUGCGCAAAGCCAUGGCCUGAAAUGAACUCUUUGUAGGUUGUUGACCACAGGAUAGAACAGACCUGCAAAGAGGCAGAAAUACCAUGAAGACACAAGCUACUUGUGCUGAUACUCAUCAGCAAGGAUGAGCCCCUGCUGGCUCCCUGACCUUUCCCAGGGCCCAGGCACCAUCAUGUGUGCCAGAAAGAAUUUAUCACGAGGAUGUUUAUGUCUCACCUGGGAGUGGGCAUCAACAGCACUGAGACAGGUGCCGGAACAGACAUUCCAGAUGCGGAUGUGUCUGUCACUGGUUCCACCUCCAGUGGCUAGAACAUUUGACUGCCAUGGACACCAUGCCACAGCCUGAGGAAGAAACAGUUCAUUUUAAGUAGUACAAAAGGCAACCUGUCCCCUAUUGCAUCUUCCAGAGCUCAGGCCACAGCAGCUUCAGGGCAUUCUCCCUCCAACAAGGCAGGGUUACAGCAAGUGCUACACACCUGCCUUUCACACAGACAUGCUCCCACACUACACACAGCAGACCUGCACUCACCUUGACAGCACCCUGGUGCUGAGUGAAGGUCUGUACAGGAGUGAAGUCUCCACUGUCUCCCUGGACAGAGGGCCAGAUGUUCACCAGGUUGUCAUUGCCACCACUGGCCAGGUAGCGACCAUCUAGAGACCACUUGAGUCCGCACACCUCUUGUGUGUGGCCAGUAAGAGUGGCCACAUGGUGCUCAGCCACUCUGACAUCAUGGUGGUGGAUGUGGCCAGUUCGUGACCCACUGCAGAGAGGAGGUUCACAGUGUCAGACUAGCUCAUUUUCACCAAAAGCCAUUUUUGUGCUAUUGCAAGGCUGCCUUUUUUGCCACUGGGUUUCAACCAGUGUUGAUCACCAUCACUGGCCUGUUGACAUGAGCAGAGCAGCCACAGAACCUCUUCACAACUGACUGUGUCCAGCUGGACACUGCUUCACCCCCAGCUUUACCUGGAGAGGAUGUAGCUGUUCCAGCUGAGGGACCCCACACGAGAAGAAUGGCUGGUCAUACUUCGAAGACGCUUCUGCUGCUGUACAUCCCAUAGCUAGAGAGGCAAGAGUAUUAUGUUCUCCAGAGGGUAAGGACCAACAGCAUUGUUGCUUUGCCAGGAAACCUUACUACAUAGGCUCUGGCAUUUGACCUUUUCAGUAUGGGAGCAGCAGUUAAUUUCUCACAUACAGAACAAAGUUAUUCCAGAAAUGAGAAAAUCCCUAAAGUCUGCCUCACUACUGCAGUUUGUCACUGACCACAGCUGGAUGGGGACACUUCCACUUAUGCUAGUCUUAGCACCCUCAGCAUCACAAGACAGAGACUGUAACUACUAAUAGUCACAAGACCACAGCAAGGAUUACUGUGAUUACAAACUACUUAGGAUUUGUGCUACCUUAUGAUGAUGUGAGCAUAAGGACACCUUCAGACAAUCUUGCUCUCUGACAGAGAAGCACAGCAGUGACAAGUUCCCUACAGGCCUCUGUCACAAGUCAUCCACUUCACUCUUCUGCUCCCACAGUGGGCAGCAAUUCACUGGACUAUAACAAGUCCUAGAACACUCCUCUCCCCUGUGCUUAAGACAAGUCAGAAUGUAUGAAAGAUACAACACUGUAUCUUUCCUGUGCUAGCCAAGACUUUGUUCCAAGGCCCCACAGCUCCAGCAAUCCUUGGACAACACCUCUCAUCUUACUGCACUCACCUGGACCUCAGCAUUUCUUGUACCAACAGCAAGGUAGUUUCCUUCUUUAAUCCAUGACACAGAGGAUACAUAAUCAUCUGGAUUCUCUAUCUGCAGCAGCUGAAUGAUUUCCCCAGUAGAGUGAUUCCACAGAUAAACACAGUUGUCCAGAGCCACUGCCAGGAAGUUCUGAGAGCUCCAGUCAAUGAGAUUCAGAUAAUAGUCAUUGCGAAUCUCUGGUGCAUCCAGGAUCCUGUCUGGCAUUGAGGGAAUGUAUCUACCAUGCUUCCUACUGGAAGCAGGUGUAGUCUUCUGGCUGUAGAGCACUUUCAGGUUGUUCUGAUAGCCUUCUGGAGCAUUCUGUGGCUUUCCACUAAGGCGGAGAAUCUUAGCCUCUUCUACAUCAAAGCCAUUAAGAUUCAUUGCCCAGGAUUUCUGUUGCUCCUUCUUGGUAGGGGAAUUUUCAGCAGGGUCGUUUUCUUUGGUUAGGAGGAAAUUGGCCAUUUCCAUCUGCAUAGUGCUGCGGUUGGGAAUGUAGCGGUCCCCUCCAGCUUUUGUUGGGGUGCUCUGGACUUUGGAUCCAGAUUUGCCGGGAGUCUUGGACGGCGUCUUGCUGCCGCUGUACGAGCGGUUGGCCGGCUUCAUGGGCGACAUGCUGGCGGCGGGGCUGGGGCCGGGGCCCGGGCAGGCGCUCUCCUUGGCCUUGCGCUGCCACCGCGCGGGCGGGGCGUUGGGGAUCGGCGUGUCCAGCUUCAGCAGCCCGUGCAGGUCCGCCUCGAACACGAAGUGCGCCAUGGCGCUCCGCGUCCCCGCUCAGCCUCACGCAGCACCCCCCCGCCUGCGCUCACUUAGGCUUUUAAACCCCGCGCGGCCUCCCUUCCCAUUGGUCGCUUCAAAUCUAACCCUCCGCACGCUGUCAUGGCGACCCCGCGCAGCCGCGCUGCGAUUGGCUGAGCCGCAGAGUGGGGCGGGGCUUUCCCCGCCGGGCCGCGGUCCGCCCGGCAGAGGGUCGAGGUACGAGGAGUGCGCCGCGCACGGAGCCGGGGAUGGGGCGGGGCGGCGCCGGCGUGAAGGAGCGAGGAGACGGCGUGGUUGGUCUGUAUUUUAUAUCCCGGGGGGAAAAGGGGCCGAGGGCUCUCCGCGCGGCUCCCAACCGCCCAUCAGCAGGUAGGAGUGGUUGGCGAUGUCCGUGCUGGGCGCCGGGCGGCUGGCAGCGGGCUCCGGCGGGGGGUCCCCGGGCUCGCCGCGGGGUCCGGGCAGCACCUCCAGCAGGCAGGGCAGCACGGCGUCCUCCGGCGGCUGCUUGUAGAAGGCGCUGGGCUGGGGAGGGCGGAGGAGAUGCGCUCGGGGCGGCCCGGGGGCUGCGGGACGGCCGGAGGCGGCCCGGCCCGGCGCUCACCUGGCCCUGCUUGGGGCUGUCGUGCAGGAAGGUGCCCAGCGCGCGGUGCAGGUCGGGGACGGGCGGCCACAGCCUCUGCUUCACGCUGCUGAGGGGGCAGCGGGGCGGUGUGGGCAGACCCCCGGCCCGGCGCACCCCGCCGCCCGCAGCGCGGCCUUACCUGUACAGGGAGGGGAAGGUGCACCGCAGCCCCAGCAGCACUCCCGUGAAGAUCAGCGGCGCCACCGUCACGCUCGGGAUCACCCAGCCUGCGACGGAGCGGCGGGUCUGCAGAGCCCGCUGAUUCUCCUCGGCCCGCCCUCGGGCGCCCUCAGCCCCCUCCCGGCCCUUACCCGCCUCAGCCGCGACGUCGACCACGACGGGCUGCGACCACGCGCUCCAGCUGCCCUGGUACUGCGGCCCGCCGGGCUGCGCCCGCACCUGGGCACGAUAGCGGGCACCGGGCCGGAGGUCCAGCACUUCCUUCCUGGCCGCCCGCGGGACCUGCAGCACCUGCGGGCAGAGCUGAGCUGGGGCUGUGUGGGGCCUGCGGCUGCCCCGUGUCAGCCCCUGCAUCACCUUCCACUCGAGGCUGUUGUCCGUGGCGUAGCGGACCUGGUACUCCAGCUGCUCCGCCAGCGCCUCCAGGGGCGGCAGCCACUGCAAGCUGAACCGGCCCUGGGAUGCCGUCGCCUGCACGUGCUGCGGGGCCUCCGUGAGCACUGUGGGAUGGGGACGUGUCGCUGCCGUGGGACGGGACCCUGCCCCGAGCGAGGGAUGUGGAGUGCAGGCACUCACCGGCCUGGUGCAGCCAGAAGGGCUCCUUGAAGUAGCUGAGCACGGGUGGCUCGUGGAGCCGAGUGACGUUCACCAGGACGGCAAUGGGGCUGCCGGCCGUGGGCUGGAAGGUGCAGGCGUGGCUGCCCUGUGUCCCCGUGCUGGCAUCCUCACACUGCUGCCACGUGUCCUCCCUGUGCGGCAGGGAGUGGGCAGCCGGUCACCCUGCGGUGCUGGCACUGCCGCCAUCGCUCUCUGCAUGGGGCACAGCUCCGUGUCAUUGCUGUGCCCUUUACCUCAUGCCAGCCCCACUCGGAGAUGCCCGGUAGAAGAGCUCAUGGGUGCUGUGGUGCUCUGCAGGGUCCCAGCUCCACACACAGCGCACACACCGCAGGUCGGGAGUGCUGCAGUGCAGCCCGAUGUCCCCUGAGCGGGUGAGAGCCAGGGCAGAGUGGGCUGCUUCCUCCCAGACCCCGCAGAACCCAACUCCCGUGUGCAGGCACUCUGCGGCCCCCAGCAGCGGAGACAGACGGUCUCUCACCAGAAGAGUGGGGCGUCUCUGCGACCACCACCUCCGACCAGGGCCCCCAGACACCAUCCAUAGAGGUGCCGUCGGGCUUGCUGCGCACCUGGAUGUGGUACCUCACCCCCGGCUGCAGCUCCCGGAGAACCACCCACGUGUCGGCCUGCACCAGCCCCUAAAGAGAGUGGUGAGGGUGGGGGGCUGCCACGGGGCCCAGAUCCCACAGCCCCUGUACGUACCUGCCCUGUUCCCUGGGAGGCCGCAGCUCCCCUGGCUGUGGGUGGGUGGGCUCUGCCGGUGGGACGGGCGGGGAGGUCCCCGGGUGCCGUGCCACGGGGUGUCACUGUGGGGGUCAUGGGGUGGUAGCACACCUCGUAGAGGAAGAAGUUGGGGUAGUCAGCAAGUGGCGGCUGCCACGACACACGGAGCUGCCCUGCGGCUCCAGCCCAGCGGGCACUGAUGUUCACGGGUGGGGCGAUGAGGCCUGCAGGAAUGUGUUGAGGCAUCCCCAGUGUUGCAGCAGCCGCAAGGCCCAGAUACUGCCAGCGGCGGGUGGGAAGAGGAAGGGGCAGCUGGGUGUAGGCAUCGGGGUCGUGCCACGGGAGGGACUCACCCACGGCAUCCACGCUGAGCUCCCGCCUGUGCCUGGUCCGGUUGGUGGUGGUGUCCAGGACAAGGACGUGGAGCGGGGUGAAGAGCCGCACGUCCUGGCUGGGGAACACGCAGAUGUGCCGCAUCCCACUGACCCCACUGCGCUGCGUGGAGACUGCACACGUGGUGGGUGCAUCCCUGAGGAACAGAGGGGGGUCCUCCAGCACCCUGAGCCCGAGGGCAGCUGGAGGGAGGGGAUCCGGGCAUGGCAGCGGUCCCUCAGUGUCACCGCUCCUUCCCACAUCCCCGCCGGCUCUACCUGCUGUACCAGUAGUAGAAGCGGUGUAUGGCGCUUGCCUCCUCCUCAUCCCAGAAACACGUGAGAUCCUCGAAGGAGCGGGAGAAGCAGAGGAUGUCCUCGGGCACCUCCGCCAGCAGCGCGGCAUCUGGUGGGAGGGUGGGCAUGAAGGAGCCCUUGGCUGCCUCAUCCCCUGCAUGGCCCCUCCUGCCCGAGUCCCCCGCCAGCACCAGGGAGGGAUGCAUACGUCACCACUGUUCCCCCUCCCCAGCACACGGGGUCCUCGGGACAAACAAACAUCCCAAAAUAGCCCUGCGGUCAGAGGGGCUCUGGAGAUCAGCGGGAAGCACCCCGGCUCGGCUCACUCCGGAAGGCACGUGGAAGUGCGAUAAGGAGAGCAGUGCCCCGGGAGAGGCAAGGGCCUGGGGCUUGUGUGGGGUUUGCAGUCCUGGGCAUGGGGGGAUGCUUGGCAACAAAUGGGCUCUGCUGGGGGGCUCUAGGCUGCCCCCUCCCCCUCGCAUGUUGAUCUCCUUCUUGUUGCAGGGGUGAACUGGAGCAUCACACCUCACCGCUGUGCUGCUGUCUGAUCCCGCUCCAGGUGAAAGGACUGAGCACAGGAAUGCCGCCCUCCCCACAUGUCUGCCAGGUGUCCCCCUCCUCUCCCUGCCCCUCACGUUGCCCUGACCCCUAGCCCUGUUCCUCCUUUCCCAGAUGGCAUCUCCUUCCUCCCCAGCCACACGCCCUGCCCGCAGACCACAGCCCGCUCUCUCCUACCUGCCCUUCCCUUUUUGCACCCCCAGCCACCCCAGCCUCUCUUGACCUUCCCCAGCACUGUCCCCUCUCAGCCCCAGAGUGGCACAGGCACCUGCAUGCCCCUGCUCUGGCCAUGGCCUGUGGGUUCCCAGGCUACCCUCAUGGCACAGCUCUGCAGCUGGCACAAAGCAAGCUCAGGCAUUGCGCUGGCACUGUAGCAGUGGUCUCUGGGCACAGCAGUAUAGUGUGAGCCCAAAGCCUCCUUUCCUGCCUCUGCACCAGUAGGGGUGACUUAAGGGGUGCUCCUGUGACCACUGUAGCAGUCUGACCACGGAUCUUGGAUGAGUGUGAAAACAGGAGCGUGAGAUCAAAUGUUUUGUCCAGUUAAUACUUUAUAUAGUAUUAUAGAAAGAGUGAAAGGGCCUAAAGAGAGAGCUUAAAGCAUCGGUGACCCUGCUGGGGCUGGCUCAGAGCUGGAUGGAAAGAACCCGUGGGGUGCUAAGGUGGCACCAAGCUGGGCAUCGCCGCUGCGUUACAUGUAGGAGCAGCAUGAUGUCAUGGGGCUGAGGGCUGCCGCCUCAAACUGGUGGCUGGCAGCUGCAGGAAGCAGGGCAACCCUUUGUUGCAGGCACCCCGGAGUGCCCCAUGUGUGCCCAAACGCAUCCUCCAGCAGACCUUCCUGGAGCCCCCUCCCUCAUCUCGCACCUCCCUGGCUGCUGCAGGGUGAAGCUCCCUGUGACCCACCCGUGGGAGAACCAUGACCCCAGGACCUACCUUGGGAUGUCACUGGCUCGGUGUCCGUGGCAGGGCUGUGCCGGCUCAGCAGGACGGCAGCGAGCAGAGCAGGCAGCCAGCCCUGGUGCAGGCAGGCUGCCAUCCCGCCCGUCAUGCUCGGUACUUCCCAGCACCCUGGCUGCUGCCCCAGCUCUGCAGGGUGAUACCUUUAUCUGGGAAGUGUAGGCUGUGCUGCUCAGGAAGCCUGGCUGGAGGCUCCCCUCACCCCAUCACCGGCACUUCCCCGUGCCCAAAACCACCGCUCUGCAGCCCCUUCACCAGCAGCCACAGUGCCAAGAGAGACUGCUCCCAUCAGAUAGGCAGCACGUCCUGCCCUUGUGGCUAGCGGCAUGGGGUGGGAAGAAAAACAGCCACUGAGGAAGCAGGGAGGCCCCUUCUAUGGGCUGGGCGGACUGUGGGACUUGGGGACACCCGCACCCUCGGUGACAUGUCACAGCUCAGGGUGUGGGACGGUGGCUCUGAAUCCAUCUCACCCUGCGCUGCCCCACUCUGUGCUGCUCUGUGCGGCCCCGCUGUGCCACAGGCAGGUCGGCAUCAAUCUCCCCCACGGCACUGCCAUCCUGGGGGCAUGGAGGGGAAGGGAGGAACAGUUUGUCACGUUGUUUUUUUUCAAUCCAGUCCCACUUCCUUCUCCAUCUGGUGACCGGGCUUUGCAGGCAACAAGCACAAACCCUUUGGUUCAGCAUAACUGCCCCAUGUGCCGUUCACAGCUCAGCAGGCAGGUGCAGAGGUGGUGGCACACUGGAGCAGCUGCUCCCUGUCACUGCUUCACUGGCAACUUCAGUGGUGGAGCAGAGGAUGCUCAUCAAUGGCUGCAGCUGCCAAGUAGCACUGGAGGCCAGAACGGGGAAACUGAAAUGGUACUGACGCAUUUCAAAUGUGAUCUGGGGAAAAGAGGCUGUUCCCCAGAAAGAAAAAUGCCUUGCUGUGGGGUCACACACAGCACCCCAUGGGCACGGGCUGGGGACUGGGCACAUCCUCCAGAAAAGCAUCAGCUCCCCAUCCCUCCACUGGAGCCAGCUGUCCCUUGUACAAUGUUUAUUGACCAUAAAACAUAGCCAUUGAGUUCCAAGGGGUAGUGCUGAGCUGGAGACUGUGCACGUCCUUCCUCCUGCACUGGGGCUGCUGCAUCCCAUGCUGGAGUUGAUGAUCACUAUCUGCUUGCAGUGGAAUAAGCUGAGAACUGCAGGGCAGGGAGCUGCCGGGUCUCUGCUUCCACCUCUCACCCUGCAGUUUGGGUGUUUGUGUCCUGCCAGGGCGUGGGCUGCAGCAUCCCCAGCUCCUGGGGGCCGGGCCCUUCUCUCUGCUACAGACACUGUGUAGGGCACACAGCUGGCACUUGUCCUUUGAGGCUGUCGCUACGUGUCCCCCAGCCAGCGUGCAUCAGGAGGCAACUGGGAAGGGCACAGUGCAGUCCUGCUAAAGGGAGGAUGCUCUCCAGAGGGGCCACUGUUGUUCAGCCAUGGUCACCUGCUGGGCAGGGAUUGAAGGUAACCCCCACAGCAGUGUCCCAGCAAGCUGGGGGCUGGUGUUGCCCCUCCGCCAUGGGGGCACAAGCUGGUGGGAACUGCAUGGAGCUGGGUGCAGCCUCAGGCCUCCUCCGCGGUGGCAUCAAUCCCUGCGUAGGUGAAGUUCUCAAACAGGGCCAUGUUCACGUAUGCCUGCAUGGGAACACAAGUCAGGUGCAGGGGAGAUGCUGAGGUGUGCUUGGUGGGGUUCCACGGGGACGGCUGGCCAUGUGGCCACUCACCUUCCUGGCCUCCAGCAUGCGGAUGAGCUGCAUGGAGAUCUGGGCAAAGGGUGGGCGCUCGUAGGGACGGUCGCGCCAGCACUGCCUCAUCAGCUCGUACCUGGGGGCAGAGAGCGAGUGUGCACGGGGUGGGGUGGGCAGAAAGGCUGCUUGUGGGACACUGGGAGAAGCGGGCAGGAGACAAAAGCAUGGGGUAGAAGGCAUGGGGCUCUUCUUCCAGUUGUGGUGCACAGGGGACCAGGAUGGGCUGCCAGAAGCCAUCAAGAACCCCCACAGGUAGCAUGGGGGAUGCAGGGCACUCUGCCAACUUACACCUCAUCAUCACAGUUGCGGGGUUUCUCCAUGCGAUAGCCCUGGGGCAGCUUCUCGUAGAGCUCAGCACACGUCAUCCCGCAGUACGGCGUGCCCCCUGCAGCCACAUACACACGUGUGGUUGUGGUGGGGGCAUGAGGUGCCCUCACCCCCUUGACCCCAGCCACUGCUCCUCUGGGUUGUCCCCUCUAGAGCUGCAGGAGGACUUGCAGGGACCCGAGUGGGUGAAGGGGACAAAAGAUGAGCCUUACCCAAGCUGACGAUCUCCCAGAGAAGGACGCCAAAGGACCACCUGAAAUAGUAGAUUAGGCUGUGAUGGAGCCAGCAGCCGUAUCCCACUCAUGGGGAGGGGGACAAGCUGAAGGGGUUCGUGGUGAGACUGGAUGGGGCCAAGAAGAGGGACAGCGGUGGCUGUGUCUGUGUCCCAGCCCCGGCGUCUGUGGACUUACACAUCGCUCUUGGUGGUGUACACGCUGUAGUUGAGGGACUCGAUGGCCAUCCAACGAACUGGCAAGCGGCCCUGGAGAAACAGAAGGUGACCCUCAGGGGACAUCCCAAGGGAGGAGGGAGGAUGGUGCAGCUGUCUUCCAGCUGGCUUCCCACUAGUGGGAGAUCCUGCCCUCCGCAUCCAUGAAGGCUCCAUGGAGUCUCCUAGCUCCUCCCUCACCAUUGUCUUCUUCACGUAGACCUCCUCCCCCCUGGAAAGGCCAAAGUCAGCGAUCUUGGAGGCCAGGUUUUCUCCCACCAGGAUAUUCCUGGCUGCCAGGUCCCUGUGAAUGAACUGCUUCUCACUUAGGUACUGCAUCCCCUUGGCCACGUCUGAAGCGAACUGGAGGAGCUGCUGGGAGGUGAGGGUGGACGCGGUGCCAUGCUCCUUGGCAAAGGCUGGGUCGGUCUCCAGGACUCGGCUUUUGCGGAGGAAGUCGAGGAGGUUUCCAUAGGGGGCAUACUCGAUGGCAAUAUACAGGUAACCUGUGGGCAGGAAGAGGCAGGGCUUAGGCUGUCUCCAGAAAAGGGCAGUAGCCAGCGAGGAAGAGGGGACGGCCCUCACCCUUGUUCUCACAGGCGCCUAGCAAGUUGAUUAUGUUGGGGUGAUGGCCCAGCUUGCACAGCACCUCUAACUCUCCAGCAAAGUCCCGGUGGUCAUUCUCUGAGGCGAACUCCUUCAGCAUCUUGAUGGCUGCAUUCAUUUUCAAGCCAUCUUUUUUGAUCAUGGCCCUGAUGACCUGCCCAAAGUUCCCUUCCCCAAUCAUGUCCUCAAACUUGAUGUCCUCCCACUCCAGGAUGGGGUAGCUGAGGGGUUCGGGCUGUGGCUUGGGCCGGCGCGUCAGGGUCAGGGUCCCUGAAUUGAACUGCAGGAUGGUCUCUUCUCCCUGCAAGAGGGCAGCAGUUGAGGUUAGAGGCAUCGGGCACCCCUCUGCCCCACGGCGGUGCCAACAGGGCAGGUAUCACGGGCAAGGGUGGGCUCCGCACCCUCUCUGUGUGGAGGUGAGGUCUGGCUGCAUCCGGACUGGAGGCUAUGGAGCGUGACCUGGAUCGGGCUGGGACGUGGGGAGCUGGGGACACUGUCCUGGCAGGGCAGGCAGCACUCACCGAGCCAGACUGGUAUGUGAAGGUGCGGCGCCGGUGGAAAAAGUUCUUCUUGAUGAGAAAAAGUGCCAGGAGGGCAAAGAGGAUGGUGAGGCAGGUGACGGACACGGAGCCGAUGAUGGCCAAGAGCAGCUGCUGGUCUACUCCUGCCUGCUCGGUGCUCUGGCUGCCCAGGCUGGGUGGCACACUCAGUGCUCCUGCCAAAAAGAAGGGUGGCAGUCCAUGGCUGAGCCUUGCAUGGAGCUGCAUGGAUGGCUGAGCAGCAAGACCUCAGCCCUGUACCAGCAUGCUGGGAGCCCAUGCAGACACCACAUCCCACCCACAGCUCCCAGUGCCAUGAGGUGAAGUUGGUAGUGCCUGGACUGCAGAGGUGAGACACCCACUGAGGGUCUGGGUGCAGGUACAUGCUUGCAGGGACUCCCCACUCACCAUCCCCCAGGGUUUUGGCUUUCACCAGCUGGCUCCACUCCCCUGGGACAUGGGAGUUGGCCCGGACACGAAACUGGUAGGUGGUGCUGGCGUUGAGGCCUCCAAUGAUCUUGGUGGUCUCGGCGCCAUUGUCGGUGUCAAUCCACUGGGGCUCACUGGUCCCCCCCACCUGCUGCAGCUCCACAAUGUACUUGGUGAUGCCCCCGUUGGGGUACUCGGGGACCUGCCAGUAGAGCCUGAUGGCUGUGUCAGACACAGACUCUGCUGAGAGUGACCGUGGGGAGGAAGGCCCUGAGAAGAGAAGUGGAGCAUUAGUACCAGCACAGGGCUCCUGAAGCUGCAAUGGCUGAGCACUGACGGGAGAACAAGCCCCCUCCAGCUCCUGUCAACAGCAGUGGUAACCAGAGCUGUGCCAGGCUUGAGGGACCUCUACGGACCCUCUGCCUAUGCUUGCGUGAUGUCAGGAGGUGAACAUGGACUCGUGUUUCUCAGGCAUCUUAUCAUUCCCACUUCCUCUUCUGAGCCUUUUCCACAUCCUACAGCACACAUCCCACAGUUACCCAAAGCUCUGAAAGUGCAGAGCAGAGAAAGCAUUACAUCCUGCAGACCUGACACGUAACAACCCUCCCAGCACGUACCAGACUGCACUCAACCUCACUGAAGCCACACGUCCUGUGCUCUGCUUCCCCCUGGUCUACCAGAAAGGUUGGUCAUACUGAUGGGAUGUGGCCAUUUGGGGAAAUUACCAGGGUUAAUGCAAGCAAAAGGAAACUACUUUUUGUGCAAAAAAAAUUUUUUUUAAAGUAAUUGUAUUGAGAAACUUCUUACUACAGGGUGUUGUAAAGGCAGCAAGUGUAGACAAGUGUGACAGAGCAUGGGUGUGGGCAUGAAGGAUAGAUCUAUAUUUGGUCAUCAUUCAUCAUGACCUGAAUGCCACAUUCAGGAUGUUCCUCGGCUGCUUUGUGCUGGAGGCUGUUGGAUCCAGUGAGAACACAAGGACUGAUUUUGCCAUGUAGCUGGCAUCUACCCUCAAGUGACUGUUUGUAGUCUACCAGAGCUGGGAUACAGGACCAGCCAGACCCAGAGAUGGUUGCUCUUACAUUUAUCACCAGUUUAUUGUUAGAAUUCCCUGGAUUUCUUUUUUUCCUUUUCUCCUUUCUAAAGCCAGGUUGUAUACUUCACCUCCUCAUUUUAAAGGAGGGCUAUAAGAAGGAAGGGGACAGACUCUUCAGCAGGGUCUGUUGUGAUAGGACAAGGGGAAAAUGUUUCAAAGCAAAAGAGGGGAGAUUUAGAUUGGAUGUUAGGAUGAAUGUCUUUACAAUAAGGUGGUGAGACACUGGAACAGGUUGCCCAAAGUGGUGGUGGAAACCUUGUCCUUGGAGACAUUCAAGGUCAGGCUGGAUAAGUCUCCGAGCACCUAACUGAGCUGUAGGUGUCCUUGUUCACUGCAGGGAAGUUGGACUAGACAGCCUUUAAGGGUCCUUUCCAGAUUAGAAGAUUCUACGAUUUUACAGGGCUCUCUCAUUCUCCAUGAGGUGCAUAUGGGGAAUGACUCCUAAAGUCUCCCACACUCUAGGGCAAGAAACCCUCCCACCCCAGCCCCACGUCACCCACCUUUGCUGUUGAUCAUGACCUUGUAGAGGUCAGAGGGGGGCCCCAGGCUGGUGCAGUGGUACACCAGCACCUCCAGCCCAUACUCCUUGUUGAACUCCAGGCCCCCAAUGUGGGCAGAGAGUACGGAAAUGGACGUGAUGUUUUUCUUGUAGACCAGUUGCUUUGCGGAGUCGAAGAGAUGGACGAUGAAUCCAUGUGCUGGCUCAUGGUUACUCGGCAAUUUCCAGUUGACAUGAAGGGUGUUCUUCUCCUCAAUGGACCAACCUUCAAUCACAGGCUUGACUGUGGGCUCUAGGCACUCAGUCACCAUGACGGCCUCAGGUCCCUUGCUGCCCUCACCACCAUCCCCUGGUCGGCUCAGCUGUACCUUGACAACAUAGGCGGUCACCGGCCGGAGGUUCAUGAGGGUGAUGUUUUCACUGUUGUCAACUGUUAACCAAGAGGACAUAUCAAAUCCAUACCCCCAUCCCAUCACCAGUGUCCUCCCAGUGUCACCACAGAGGGUCUUGCUGAGCAAGAUGGAGACCUCUGCACACCCCAGGCUCUUCACAGGAGCCACGUACCCAUCCUGACAGCCACAUACCCACAAUGGACGACCACACCGAGGCAUCAUCCUUGGGCUUGUAGAGUAACUUGACAGAGACAAUGGGCCCAUCACCAGAGAAGCAGUCCACAGGUGACACCACAAGCUGGCGACUCUGCUUGGCCAGCAGCCGGGGGGGGCUCAGGGGUGCUGGUGGCACUGGGGAUGAAAGAAGGAAUUAUACCAGUUGGACUGGGAGCAACCAGGAGCAGAGUAUGAGGACAUCUCCAGUUUCUUGGCUCCUUCCAGCUUUGGCGGGUAGGGGAAGACCCCAACAAAUGUUUUAUCACCACUCAAACCUGACUGUUGCCUCUGUGACACAAGAUGAGUGGCAUGUAGUCCACUUGUGGGGGGUCUUACUGCCACACUGUGACCCAGCACCCCCAGUUCUUUCCUCACCUCGAAUGUUGACCUUGACUUUCCGGCUGUCCUGGCCCCCAGUAGUAGAGACUCGGCACUCCCAGAGCCCUGCGUCGGCCUUCGUCAGAUGCUGCACCUGAAACUCGCACGUGAUCUGCCCCGACUCUAUGAUGGCUUUGACCAGCUGUGGGCACAGAGGUGCUAUCAGCCACCAUGGCAACCAGGGUUGCCACUUGGUGGAGUUGUCACCCACUGUGUUGGGGAUCCUGUGAUUUGGGUGCAGGGACAGUGCCAAAAGAUGGGAGCGAGGUGAAAACACGGGGCUGUGGGCAGUGGCUUCUGAGGUACCUUGAGCAUGGUGCCAUCAGCCUUGCGCAGCUCCACACCAUCACUUGCAGGCAGUGGGUUGCCAGUGGCCACGCAGCUGAUGAUGGGCUCUGAGCCCAGGUUGAACUCCAGCUCCGAGGCCAGUUUGAUGAUCUGGGGGAAGCGGUCUGGUGUGGAGAAAUCAGCAUUAGGGCUCAUCCCACUUCUCCCUGUUCACUAAGAACGUUCAGACCUUUCCCGGUGCUGGGGGUCAUGUCUGAGCACUGAGGUCCAGCUCAGAUCCACCCCUCACUCUAGGCUCAGGGAUGCUCGUUGGCACAGCUAAUUUGGGAAAGCCAGACUACUUUCCCUCUUGCAGCACCACAGUUUCUAUGGGGCUGGGGGCUAUUUUUACCAGCAAGGCAGGCUGCCCACCUGGCUGUGGAGAUUGGUAUCAGCCCCCUUUAAUGAGGAAGAAGCUGGAGCCCACCCACAGGGGACAAAGCCCCUCUGUGGCCCUGUGCCAGCCUCACCUGACUUCUCGCAGUGCUGCCCAUGCCAGCCUGCAGGGCAGACACAGCCACUGAAGCGGUUACAGCUGCCACCAUUCCGGCAGGCACACAUCAGAGCGCAGUCGGGGCCAUAAUAUCCUGGGGGACAGGCUGUGGGAAGAGGAGAAUCCACUGCUACCUCCGGCCACACUGUACAGGUGCACGUGCUCAGCCUGUGCUGGCGCUCAAGCCAGCAGGCAAGGCAGGAUACUGCCCAUGUUCCCAUACCUUGGCUGCAGCGGGAGCCGCUCCACCCCGAGGCGCAGGAGCAGCCAUAGGGGUCCGGCAGGCAGAAGCUCAGCCCCCUGCAGCCCUGGGCUCUCUGGCACGUCUCCUGACAGUUGCGGCCAAACUGGCCUUCCCGGCAGGCUGGAAAACAAGUGCUUCAUGGAGCUCCCCAGCACUAUCCCUGGCAGGCAAGGAGCUGCUGCCCCAGUGUUUGUCCUGCCAAGGUGAUAGAAGUAGGGGGCACUGGGGAUGGGCAGAUGCUGGGGGUGCUGUGAGUUUCUGGCCACGGUGACAAGAUCUUGGAGUGCAGUGGGACACAGCUUGUCCCCUUGUGGCAGAGGCAGCCGCUGGACCUACCUCUCUCACAACGGGUGCCUGUGAAGCCAGGAGGACAGAUGCAUUCACCGACGUGGUCAUGACAGAUGCCCCCAUUCAGGCAGUCAGGACAGUCCUUCUCACAGGACGGACCCCAUUUCUUUGCAGCACACGCUGCAGGGAGAGCAGAGGGGUGUGGAGUGGCAUUGGGCCAUGUGUCCCCACAGUAUGGGAGGGGACAACGGAGUGCCACUUCCCCAGCCCCACUUACCUCUGACGAUUAGCCUGUAGAAGGCACUCCACAGAGGGCUAUCUCCCAUGAAAGUGGCACUGUAGACACCAUUUUCAGUUACGCUGACAUUCGGGAGUGUUAGAGUGAAAAGGUCACCCCGCACCUCGCCCCGGUCCGUGGUCUGGUAGUAGGUACCUGCAGGGAGACAGGGGGUGACCUGGGGACUGCUGUACCCUGCGGUGGGGGAGCGAGGGCGGCUAGGAGCAGGGCACUGGGUGGUGGCACUGGGUGGUGCAGGGCACUGGGUGGUGGCAGCCCUGCUUGUGAAGCCACUUGCCAUUUCUUUUCCACAUGACAUCCAUCUCCUUCCUCCUGAGGACCCUGGCGGAGAAGGUGGCCGGCUCGCCGACAUUCACAGACUGCGUGGCCUUCACUGGGAAGAGGUGGGCUGCCAAAGAGAAGGAGGAGCAGGCUGAGGGCAGUGCCUGGGUGGGCCGCCCCGCUAUGCAGUCCUAACACACCUCUCCAUGGGGACAUCACCACGCACAUCUCCAUCCACACACCUCGGGCAGAGGAGCCACAGGGAACCAGGGAUGGCACCCAGGGUUGGGGUGUCCUGUGCUGUCCCAGCACGGGAUGCUGUGACAGCAGCCUGGGGAGAUAUGACAGCAUGAGAUGCUGCUUGCUGCCAGACUGGGAGGUGUGUAGGCAAGAGGCAGGACCUGUGUCUUUGCCUGCCUCUAGCAGAGCACUCAACAUGUUUACCUGAUUUCCCAGGUGUUGGGGUAUGCACCACUCUCAUAGCUAUACUGUGAGUCAGCCUGGACACAGCUUUGAGCCUAAACCAGGCUAUAAAUAUGUUAAGGACUGGGAAACCAAGCCCUGGGUGUGCCAGCAACGACACAAAAGAGGGCACACUCAGAUACUGGCUGCCAGAGCCUCCCAGUGUGCCAGAUCGCACGCCCUGCAACUGGCUGUGCUGGGUGGGAGCAGUGGUGCCUGCAACCCAGCAUUCUUCCAGCUUAUAUCUAUUUAUUCUGCCGUGCUCAAUAUUGUUCUCCCAUGGGUUUUGCAUCUUUAGCCACGGUCCUGCACUGUAGCCACAAACGCACUGCUGCAGCCAGGGUCUGAUGCCCUGAGCAGAGCACCACAUCUCACCCCGAGAACCAGAAGCUCCAACAACCACAGGUUGACUCCUGCUGGCAGCACACCAGCAGCCCUGCAGCCUGACUGCUGGCACCACUGCAAGCCAAAGGAGAAGUCCUGGCAAUGCUCGUUUCAGCUAUUUAUUGUCUGUCUUCUCUUAUCAGUGCUGUAAUUUUAGACAGAUCCUCUGACAGAUUUCCUGAAGUUCCCUAUUGUGCUCACAGAUGCGAAAAUAAAAGAAUUUAAUUUUUUUUCUGCUGUGGCCUCUCCGGGCACCU